UAGACCAUUGGAUGAUGAUGAGGCCUGUGC
rnacentral:piRNA from 1 species